GCAACCUUCCUGGCCAUCAAAGACGGCAUAUAUAAAGAGUGCAAUCGAAGCGUCGUUCAUCAGUUCGAGCUACCGAAGCAAGAAUAACACUCUCAAACAUGUUCCGUUGCGUCCUCAUCCUGGCCCUUGCCACCUGUGCCUUCGCCGGCUACCUCGGCUACGGCGGCUACUCCGUGGCUGCUCCACUAAGCUCGUCUUACUCCACCGUUCACCACGCUCCAGUUGUCUCUACCCUCGGCUACGGCCAUGGUCUUGGCUACGGCCAUGGUCUUGGCUACGGCUACGGUCUCGGCUAUGGCCACAGCCUUGGCUACGGAUACGGACUCUUUGGCCAUGGUCUUGGCUACGGUUAUGGACUUGGCCGUCUUGGCUACGCUGGCUUCUACAAGAAGUAAUCUGAACACCUGACAAUUUCGGACGAUGGCCUUCCGGGACUGCACUCACCACCAACAGGAGUACAUAGAAGAAAUUUGAAAAUAACGCAAUAAACC